rnacentral:lncRNA from 1 species
CGAGCAGAUCUAUCAAUAAGAGAAAAUUGAGCAGAUCUACGAAGGCGGCACGCCAGAGAAGAAAAUGGUGGAGAGAGAGCAAAGUGGAGGAGGAAGGAGGUCAUGUUGUGAGAGAGAGAUGAGAGUGCCAUUUUUUGUAUUUUUUUUUCAUAUUAAAAGGGUAAAUUUGUAUUUUUGCCCAAAAACUGGCCAAAUUUUAAAUUUUUUAUGUGGGUGGAUAAUUUUUAUUUUUACUAUAGUAAAAUGGUCAUUUUUAUAUAUUAACUCAUAGUAUUUUAUACAUAAUAAACAUUUCUCCUAAAUAAUCCUGUCGAAAAAAUUUA